rfam:Aedes albopictus isolate Foshan contig129630, whole genome shotgun sequence.
UGUUCUGUAGCUUAGUUGGUUAAAGCGCCGGACUAGCGAUAACGGAGUCGUGGGUUCGAAUCCCACCAAAGCAA